AAAGUCGUAACAAGGUUUCCGUAGGUGAACCUGCGGAAGGAUCAUUACCAUAUGUAUCCAUAUAAACACCUGUGAACUGAUUGUAUCUCCGUUCGUUGUUGAGUGGGCGUUGCAAUGUGCGUUUGUGGAGCUCUUGAGUGGUGGUAGCUUCCGUCGCAUUGUACUCAUCUUUGGAUGACCUGCUUGGCUCGAACGUGUAUUCCACUGCUCAUGUCAUACUUAUCUAUUAACACCUUGUACCCACUGUGAACUGAACAUAACGCACAGCUUUCGCAGCAGCAGCGCAUUGUCAUUACCAGAUAGAGAGAGGAGCGAGUGACCCUAAGCGUUAUACGCCUCUCACUCUUGACAGUAAUGCCGCGCAGCAGCAGCACUAGCAGUGUCGUAAAAUGUACGAAACGUGCGAACAACUCUUAACAACGGAUAUCUUGGUUCUC
rnacentral:misc_RNA from 1 species